rnacentral:rRNA from 1 species
CCUACGGGUGGCUGCAGUCAGGAAUAUUGCGCAAUGGAGGAAACUCUGACGCAGCGACGCCGCGUGGGUGAUGAAGGCCUUCGGGUCGUAAAGCCCUGUCGGAGGGGAAGAAAAGCCUGCUGGCUAAUAUCCAGUAGGCCUUUGACGGUACCCUCAAAGGAAGCACCGGCUAACUCCGUGCCAGCAGCCGCGGUAAGACGGAGGGUGCAAGCGUUGUUCGGAUUGACUGGGCGUAAAGGGCGUGUAGGCGGUUGGUCAAGUCUGGUGUGAAAGCCCGGGGCUCAGCUCCGGAAGUGCAUCGGAAACUAGCCGGCUGGAGCGCGAUAGAGGAGGGCGGAAUUCCUGGUGUAGCGGUGAAAUGCGUAGAUAUCAGGAGGAACACCGGCGGCGAAGGCGGCCCUCUGGAUCGUUGCUGACGCUGAGACGCGAAAGCGUGGGGA